GAUGAACGCUGACAGAAUGCUUAACACAUGCAAGUCCACUUGAAUUUGGGUUUUUAACUUAGGUUUGGGUGGCGGACGGGUGAGUAACGCGUAAAGAACUUGCCUCACAGCUAGGGACAACAUUUGGAAACGAAUGCUAAUACCUAAUAUUAUGAUAAUAGGGCAUCCUAUAAUUAUGAAAGCUAUAAGCGCUGUGAGAGAGCUUUGCGUCCCAUUAGCUAGUUGGAGAGGUAACGGCUCACCAAGGCGAUGAUGGGUAGCCGGCCUGAGAGGGUGAUCGGCCACAAGGGGACUGAGACACGGCCCUUACUCCUACGGGAGGCAGCAGUGGGGAAUAGUGGACAAUGGACCGAGAGUCUGAUCCAGCAAUUCUGUGUGCACGAUGAAGUUUUUCGGAAUGUAAAGUGCUUUCAGUUGGGAAGAAACAAAUGACGGUACCAACAGAAGAAGUGACGGCUAAAUACGUG
rnacentral:rRNA from 1 species